rnacentral:lncRNA from 1 species
AAAUUAGUGCAAAUUAAUGAAUAAAUUAGGAUAUUAAUUAAAAGUUUCUUUAAAUGCUGUAUAGUUUAAUUACCGAAAUAACCUCGAAUGAUGCAACCCAUUUACCUGCUAAAUGUUAAAAUUACAUCUUUUCCCUCUAUCAAUCAACGGUUAAGAUCUAUUUUAUUUUUUUAAUAAUAAAGUACCAAAUCAUUUCUCUAUUUUUUUUAUCUUAAACUAUUCGCUCCAACCGCUGUAUCACCAACUUCAUU